AUUGAACGCUGGCGGCAUGCCUUACACAUGCAAGUCGAACGGCAGCACGGGGGCAACCCUGGUGGCGAGCGGCGAACGGGUGAGUAAUGCAUCGGAACGUACCCGGAAGUGGGGGAUAACGUAGCGAAAGUUACGCUAAUACCGCAUAUUCUGUGAGCAGGAAAGUGGGGGACCGCAAGGCCUCGCGCUUUCGGAGCGGCCGAUGUCGGAUUAGCUAGUUGGCGGGGUAAAGGCCCACCAAGGCGACGAUCCGUAGCGGGUCUGAGAGGAUGAUCCGACACACUGGGACUGAGACACGGCCCAGACUCCUACGGGAGGCAGCAGUGGGGAAUUUUGGACAAUGGGCGCAAGCCUGAUCCAGCCAUGCCGCGUGAGUGAAGAAGGCCUUCGGGUUGUAAAGCUCUUUCGGCGGGGAAGAAAUUGCUUAGGUUAAUACCUUGAGUAGAUGACGGUACCCGCAUAAGAAGCACCGGCUAACUACGUGCCAGCAGCCGCAGUAAAAC
rnacentral:rRNA from 1 species